UUCAUUUACAUCUCCCACUCAACCCUUAACCCCAAUAUCUCUAUGGAACUGACGAGCAGAAAAAGAAAAAAAAAGGGGAAAAAAGCCUCGGAAUUUCAGAACCCCUGUUUGAUUUGAUCGAUCCUCUCAAAUUUAUAUCUGCCCAAUCACAAUAUCAAUAGAUUCAGGUUAGAUAAUUUCGACCAAAAUAGACAUGAAUUCCUGCAUAGCUUUUGCGUGAGUCAACAAAAUGGUUUUCAAUCAUUUCUUACUCAAUCAAUACCCAUGCAAGAUCAUUUUUGGCUUAAUUUAUCUAAUAUUUGGUUUGAUAAGGACCUUACCAGAAUAGAGAAUCUGUUACCAAAUAAGGGGGUGGCCUAAACUAGAUAUGGGGUGUGGUUCACGUAGGCAGAUGAAGAGGAACCAAUAGUUGUGGUAUCAAAGGGGAUCUAUUUGAAGAAUGGAAGUUGGAAAGUGUCUAUUAGUUCCACUUCAAUUAAACACAAAAUUUACUGCACGGCUGCACCUACACGGUAUAUAAAUCAGGUUCGCUAAGGGAACUCAAUUGGAUAAUGAGACUGCGUCCUACGCUCGGGGAAGAUGACGAGGUUAUGAAAAACAUCACCAGAAGUUGGGUAAUACUUACCUUUUCAGCUUAUUGAAAUGGAGAAUGAUAUGACGGAAAAAAUGGACCUGAUGGAAGCAAUGGAAUUUGAGCAAGCAUGCUUAAUCGAAGAGUUGGAUAUUCUAUGAAAGGAGAAUUCACAAAUAUUUAGAAUUAUUGAGGAAUGGAGAAUUUGCAGCAGGUUUAAUUGGAGACGGCUAAAACAAUUCUAGACUUACAAGACAACUUCACCACACUACAACGGGAACUCCGGGAGAUAAUAUCUUAGGGAAGAAGAAAAUAUGUGACCUGGAAACAGUUUAGCUACAAAAAAAUAUAAAAUCGAGACACUGACGGAGGAAUGAGAGAAAGCGACCCUAGAACUAACCAACCUUCAUUGCAGGUGGUUGUAGAUCCCUUGAGGAUGGUUACCGAUCAGGUGCAGUUAAUAGCAAAUUCUUUCAGAAAGUAAACUUUGGAUUACUGAACAUGUAAGAUAGCUGCGAAAAGUCGUUUAAGGAAAAAAAAAACAAACAAUCGAACAACUACAACAAAGCCUAAGAGAUGCACUGAAACUUGGGUUGCAUAUGAAAAUGAAAUUGAGCCCCUUGAAGGAGGAAAAACCGACCACAACUGAUGUUAAUAUUUUUGUUACAUUUAUAACUGACUGAGACGAUUAACAUGUAGUAUAAGGAAGUGAUUUUUAAUGCAGAAUAACGUGUUGAUGUUGCAUUAGUAAUUGUGAAGAGGUUUUACUGUUUU